rnacentral:rRNA from 1 species
UACGUAGGGGCCGAGCGUUGUCCGGAGUUAUUGGGCGUAAAGCGCGCGCAGGCGGCUUCGCGCGCCCGACGUGAAAGCCCCCGGCUUAGCCGGGGAGAGUCGUUGGGGACGGCGGAGCUUGAGGGCGGGAGAGGUCGGUGGAAUUCCCGGUGUAGUGGUGAAAUGCGUAGAUAUCGAGAGGAACACCUGCGGCGAAGGCGGGUUGCUGGGCUGACACUGACGCUGAUGCGCGAAAGCUAGGGGAGCGAACGGG